GCCGGGAUGGUGGAACUUGGUAGACACGCCAUCUUGAGGGGGUGGUGCCCGCAAGGGCGUGCGGGUUCAAGUCCCGCUCCCGGCACCA
rnacentral:tRNA from 1 species